UACAGAGGUAAAAGUAAGAUUUUUCUCAGAAAAGAGUACAAAAACCAAUUUAAAUACUAAGUUAAUGUCAGUAUAUUAAUAUCAGUAUGUACUUUGGCAAGAGUAUAUUUGAAUAAUUUGUCUCCAUGGUGCUUUUUAAUUUAUUGACAGCGUGUUGUUGAAGUCUAAUUGAUAAGGUUCUGAGCCAUGAGAUCUUAAUAUAUUACAUAAAAUAACUUAAAAAAUCAAUAAUCAUUUAAUUAUUUAGAUGUAGUGGUUAUAAAAGUGACAAAAAUCUCUCAUGACGAUUUGGAAGGAUGAUAUAUUACACACUGUAACAUAAUUUUUAGGUUUUUAAAGCUGUAGAUAAGACACAAUCAUUCUUAAUUUGCAGCAGGCACAGGAUGAGCAGAUGCAAAUUAAUCUGAAUUCCCUGGACGUCAUUUUGACACUAGUUUCUUUGUCAUUUCCCAUUCAUAAAUACAUGCAUCCUAUUACAUUUAUUUACAUUUAACUGCAGACUAGUAGAAAACCUAUUUAACAAAUAUGAUGCUAAGCUCUGACUGAUUAUUUGGCAGCAUAUAUCUCACAAGACAAACCCGCUAUUAGCUGUAAAUGUGAGGCACAGAGAGACCAAACACAUGCAAGAUGCCAUCCAUGACUCUUUUUCUAUGGCUUGGUUAUGUCACACAGAUCAUAGGCUGGAGGGAAGAUUUUCCCAUUUUCUUUCCCCUACCACUUUUUACACUGGCAACAUGGGUCAAUAUUGCUUUUCUUUGUAAGCCAAUUUACACUUUGAAAUGAAGUGAGCAUUCAGUAGGAAAAGAAGGUGAAAGUAUUCUGCUUUGUAGCAUCUGCCAGGACUAAUUUUUAAAUUUAUUUUGGCUGCUAUAACAAAGCUAUAGACUGGGUGGCUUAUAAACAACAUAAUUUUAUUUCUCACAGUUCUGGAGGCUUGGAAGUCCAAGAUCAAGAGGUGAACAGAUUUGGUGUCUGGUGGGGGCCUGCUUCCUGAUUCAUAGAUGGCACCAUCCAGCUGUGCCCUCACAUGGUGGAAGGAAUGAGGCUGCUCUCUGGAAUCUCUUUUAUAAGAACUGGGGGUGCUAGAUGGCAGAAGUAGAGAUCCCUGAAUCACCCUCUGUAGAAGAGUGGCACAGGAGAGUCACUUGACCCAAUUGGGACCGACACUAGACUGUGAGAUAACAAACCUGGUUUGUGUUAAGGCCUUGAAAUUUUAGGAUUUGUUUGUUUCUUCAUUACUGGCCAACAUUCAUCUAAGGAAGAGGAUACAGAAUAUCUCCAGGGUUGUUGCAAAGAUUAAUUGAGAUAAUUUAGAUAAAGCACAGAGCACUGUCUUCCAUAAUAUGGACUCAAUAUAUGACAACGAUUACAGUUUAAGAUUGAUUACAUUCAUCUAGAGAUUAAGAAUAAGGUCUUCAGAAUCAAUGGAUAUAGUUCAUGUCUCAGAUAUGCUACUAUGUAUGUUAAGAAGAUUAUUUAAUAUCUUUACACUUUAAUUUCUUUAUGAAAUGGCAUCCGAUCCACAAGGUAAUGUAUGGGGUAGUGGUGGCAGUAAUGGUAGCUGAUAAUCUUCUGCCUGAUCCCUCAUUAGAGCUGCAGAACUGGUCAUUAGGGAAAAGAACCAAAUAGAUAAGCUUAUGUGGAGAUCCAACUGUGGUUUUGAUCAGAUUGAUGGAACUAACCAGUCACAGCCCAGCUACUAAUAGAGUGGUCUCCAACCACAAAGGCAGUGAUCAGAUGAUGGCCAAUUAUCUGAGUAUCAGCAGUGAUUCUGCCGCUGGAGACAAGCAAAAAAGACAAGCAAGAGUUCAGGAUUUGGAAAAACAAUGUAUACGAUUUUGCCUUUAUGUUGCGUUUGUAUUUCUCUUUAAGCAAUUUUAGAGCGAUAAUAGAUGCAGCAUUAAAAAUUAAUUUUGCUUUUUCCCAAUCAUAAUAGUAGUAGAGUUUUUUAUAGAAAGUUAGAAGUACAGAAAUUUGGACAGAAAGAAAAACAUACAUUGUUCUAAUCCAACAAACAACUAAUAAUUUUUCUGUAUUUAUAUUCACUCUUUUUUUCUAUAUAUGUUUUAUUUGUUUAUUUAACAUAAUUGGAUUUUCUAAUGUUAUAUUUAAAUUACUUCAUAAAUAUUAUUUUCAAGGACUGUAAAUUAUUUAAUUAUGUGAAUGUACCAUAGUUUACUUAUUUAUUUCUUUCAUGACAUUAGCUUUUUUGCUGUUGUAAAUAAUGACCCUGUUAACUUCUCUGUUACAUAUUUUUACAUCCUUUGAUUUAUUUUGUUGGGACAAAUCCACAGAAUUGGAAUUACUAGGACAAAUAGAAAAGAUGUUUAUAAGAAAUAGUAUACUACAUUGCCAAAUUGCUAUCCCCAGCAAUACCUGAAAAUGAUGGUUCCACAUGGCCUAUUAUGGGAUUUAUCUUUGUAUAUUGCUAAUUUAAAAAACC
rnacentral:lncRNA from 10 species